GGGGUUGUGGCUCAGUGGCAGAGUGAUUGCCUAGCAUGUGAGAGGCACUGGGUUUGAUUCUCAGAACCCCA
rnacentral:tRNA from 1 species